AGUGCCUGAAGAUGGCUUAUGUAGCCAUAUGAAAAGCAUGAUGCCGAAAGACUUUGCUGACAUGGACAUAUUCACUGGAGAGGCCAUCGAUGUUGUCAUCGGAUCCUCAAGAGAUGACGGAAAGGUGUAUGCUGGAUACGGGCAAUGGAUAGAAAAGGCUGCUUGGGGGACAUUGUUGCGGUCUACGUCUGACUACGUUCUGCCGUAUGGCGUCGACAAUGUAUUGGAUGCCAGAUGAGCUUAAGAACAGAAGCGUGGCUGGGACUUUGUCCAUCAAGUCGCGAUCCAAGGGAAGGACUGAGGCCAGACCAGCCG